rnacentral:rRNA from 1 species
CCCGCACAAGCGGUGGAGCAUGUGGUUUAAUUCGAUGAUACGCGAGGAACCUUACCUGGGCUCAAAUGUAUGUUGACGUAUUCUGAAAGGGAUACUUCUUCGGACAAUAUACAAGGUGCUGCAUGGUUGUCGUCAGCUCGUGCCGUGAGGUGUCGGGUUAAGUCCCCAUAACGAGCGCAACCCCUGCAUUCAGUUGCCAUCGGGUAAUGCCGGGCACUCUGGAAGGACUGCCAUCGACAAGAUGGAGGAAGGUGGGGAUGACGUCAAGUCAUCAUGGCCCUUAUGUCCAGGGCGACACACGUGCUACAAUGGCCGGCACGACGGGAAGCGAGUUCGCGAGGACGAGCGGAUCCCUCAAAGCCGGUCGCAGUUCGGAUUGAAGUCUGCAACUCGACUUCAUGAAGCUGGAAUCGCUAGUAAUCGUGGAUCAGCCAAGCCGCGGUGAAUACGUUCCCGGGCCUU